CCAUCCACAAGUGUGUCAGUGAAUUGUACAUCAUCUCUGUCAGGUUGUGACUCUUCCCUUUUAAUCACAGGUGAAGAAAAUUCAGGACCAAUCUUGUCAACUGUGGUCAUGUUGUCAUCCCUUGUCUCGUCACUCCAGUCAGAUCCAUAAUUAUGAGCCGGUGUACAUCUCAUCAUGUCUCUGCUUGGCUGGGCUGAUUUAGAUCUCGUUAUUAUUGGAGCUGCUUGUG